CAGGGAGUUUCUGCAACCAGAUUUCCAGUGAGAUGAAUUAAUCAGCUAAUGCUGCAGAGACACUAAAUGAGAUGACAGGCAGCUCCCACAAAGCAGAUGCUCAAUUAAUUGCUGAGUAAUACUUCAUUGUCUGGAUGUACUACAGUUUAUGUAUCCAUUUACCUACUGAAGAACAUCUUGGCUGCUUCCAAGUUUUGACAAUUAUGAAUAAAGGUGCCAUAAAA
ensembl:lncRNA novel transcript